rnacentral:rRNA from 1 species
AUGAACGCUGGCGGCGUGCUUAACACAUGCAAGUCGAACGGGAAACCUUUUAUUGAAGCUUCGGCAGAUUUAGCUGGUUUCUAGUGGCGGACGGGUGAGUAACGCGUGGGUAACCUGCCUUAUACAGGGGGAUAACAGUCAGAAAUGGCUGCUAAUACCGCAUAAGCGCACAGAGCUGCAUGGCCCAGUGUGAAAAACUCCGGUGGUAUAAGAUGGACCCGCGUUGGAUUAGCUGGUUGGUGGGGUAACGGCCCACCAAGGCGACGAUCCAUAGCCGGCCUGAGAGGGUGAACGGCCACAUUGGGACUGAGACACGGCCCAGACUCCUACGGGAGGCAGCAGUGGGGAAUAUUGCACAAUGGGGGAAACCCUGAUGCAGCGACGCCGCGUGAAGGAAGAAGUAUCUCGGUAUGUAAACUUCUAUCAGCAGGGAAGAUAAUGACGGUACCUGACUAAGAAGCCCCGGCUAACUACGUG